rnacentral:tRNA from 1 species
GCCUGGGUGGCUCAGUCAGUUAAGCGUCUGACUUUGGCUCAGGUCAUGAUCUCACAGUCUGUGAGUUCGAGCCCCGCAUCAGGCU